rnacentral:rRNA from 1 species
UACAGAGGGUGCAAGCGUUGUUCGGAAUUAUUGGGCGUAAAGGGCGCGUAGGCGGUGCGGUAAGUCACCUGUGAAAUCUCCUGGCUUAACUGGGAGCCUGCAGGCGAAACUACCGUGCUGGAGUGUGGGAGAGGUGCGUGGAAUUCCCGGUGUAGCGGUGAAAAUGCGUAGAUAUCGGGAGGAACACCUGUGGCGAAAGCGGCGCACUGGACCAUAACUGACGCUGAGGCGCGAAAGCUAGGGGAGCAAACAGG